AGUGAACGCUGGCGGUAGGCCUAACACAUGCAAGUCGAACGGCAGCACAGUAAGAGCUUGCUCUUACGGGUGGCGAGUGGCGGACGGGUGAGGAAUACAUCGGAAUCUACUUUUUCGUGGGGGAUAACGUAGGGAAACUUACGCUAAUACCGCAUACGACCUACGGGUGAAAGCAGGGGAUCUUCUGACCUUGCGCGAUUGAAUGAGCCGAUGUCGGAUUAGCUAGUUGGCGGGGUAAAGGCCCACCAAGGCGACGAUCCGUAGCUGGUCUGAGAGGAUGAUCAGCCACACUGGAACUGAGACACGGUCCAGACUCCUACGGGAGGCAGCAGUGGGGAAUAUUGGACAAAGGGCGGAAGCCUGAUCCAGCCAUACCGCGUGGGUGAAGAAGGCCUUCGGGUUGUAAAGCCCUUUUGUUGGGAAAGAAAAGCAGCAGGUUAAUACCCCGCUGUUCUGACGGUACCCAAAGAAUAAGCACCGGCUAACUUCGUG
rnacentral:rRNA from 1 species